rnacentral:rRNA from 1 species
GCUCAGGAUGAACGCUAGCGGCAGGCUUAACACAUGCAAGUCGAGGGGCAGCGGGGAGGAAGCUUGCUUUCUCCGCCGGCGACCGGCGCACGGGUGAGUAACACGUAUGCAACCUGCCCCUGUCAGGGGGACAACCCGCCGAAAGGCGGGCUAAACCCGCGUACAUGCCACCGGGGCAUCCCGGAGGCAGGAAAGGCAUCGGCCGGACAGGGAUGGGCAUGCGGCGCAUUAGGCAGUAGGCGGGGUAACGGCCCACCUAACCGACGAUGCGUAGGGGUUCUGAGAGGAAGGUCCCCCACACUGGUACUGAGACACGGACCAGACUCCUACGGGAGGCAGCAGUGAGGAAUAUUGGUCAAUGGUCGGGAGACUGAACCAGCAAGCCGCGUGAGGGAUGAAGGUACAGAGUAUCGUAAACCUCUUUUGUCAGGGAACAAAGGCGGGGACGUGUCCCCGGAUGAGUGUACCUGAAGAAAAAGCAUCGGCUAACUCCGUGCCAGCAGCCGCGGUAAUACGGAGGAUGCGAGCGUUAUCCGGAUUAUGGGUUUAAAGGGUGCGCAGGCGGUCUGUUAAGUCAGCGGUCAAAGCCCGGGGCUCAACCCCGGCCCGCCGUUGAAACUGGCAGUCUCGAGUUGGAGAGAAGUAUGCGGAAUGCGCGGUGUAGCGGUGAAAUGCAUAGAUAUCGCGCAGAACUCCGAUUGCGAAGGCAGCAUGCCGGCUCCACACUGACGCUGAGGCACGAAAGCGUGGGUAUCGAACAGGAUUAGAUACCCUGGUAGUCCACGCAGUAAACGAUGAAUGCUGGCUGUCCGGGGGGGAUUGACCCCUGGGUGGCGAAGCGAAAGCGAUAAGCAUUCCACCUGGGGAGUACGCCGGCAACGGUGAAACUCAAAGGAAUUGACGGGGGCCCGCACAAGCGGAGGAACAUGUGGUUUAAUUCGAUGAUACGCGAGGAACCUUACCCGGGCUCAAACGGGGAGUGACUCAGGCAGAGACGCCUGUUUCCCACGGGACACUCCCCGAGGUGCUGCAUGGUUGUCGUCAGCUCGUGCCGUGAGGUGUCGGCUUAAGUGCCAUAACGAGCGCAACCCCCGCGCGCAGUUGCUAACAGAUAACGCUGAGGACUCUGCACGGACUGCCGGCGCAAGCCGCGAGGAAGGCGGGGAUGACGUCAAAUCAGCACGGCCCUUACGUCCGGGGCGACACACGUGUUACAAUGGGUGGUACAGCGGGAAGCCAGGCGGCGACGCCGAGCGGAACCCGAAAUCCACUCUCAGUUCGGAUCGGAGUCUGCAACCCGACUCCGUGAAGCUGGAUUCGCUAGUAAUCGCGCAUCAGCCAUGGCGCGGUGAAUACGUUCCCGGGCCUUGUACACACCGCCCGUCAAGCCAUGGGAGCCGAGGGCGCUUGAAGUGCGUCGCCGCGAGGCGCGCCCUAGAGCGAAAUCGGUGACUGGGGCUAAGUCGUAACAAGG